CCUGUCGGUGUAACUGGCAUGUCGCGGCAUGUCCUGUCGGUGGUGAACGGGAUCCCCGGUACUGUUGAGGCUUAAUUGUCUUAACAUGUAUCGUGUGUGUUUCCGUUUGCCGAUCUCUCCUACUCCGGUGCUCUUAAACGAGUGUCGAGGUAGGCCGACACGUUCACUUUGAACAAAUUAGAGUGCUUAAAGCAGGCUGAAAUAUCUGCCUGAAUAGUGGUGCAUGGAAUGAUAAAACAGGACCUCGGUUCUAUUUUGUUGGUUUUAGGAAUAUGAGGUAAUGAUCAAUGUGGACUGGCGGGGGCAUUCGUAUUGCGACGUUAGAGGUGAAAUUCUUGGAUCGUCGCAAGACGCACUAGAGCGAAAGCAUUUGCCAAGUAUGUCUUAAUUGAUCAAGAACGAAAGUUAGAGGUUCGAAGGCGAUCAGAUACCGCCCUAGUUCUAACCAUAAACGAUGCCAGCCAGCAAA
rnacentral:rRNA from 1 species